rnacentral:miRNA from 1 species
CGAGAACAGUGGAUGUCAUUGA